ensembl:lncRNA
AUGCAUCAUCUUUACAGAGUUCUUGCUAGCCAGUACGAUACUCUCGGCUAUAUCCUUUCAUAUACAACGAGAGCUAAAAUUAAAAAUAAAAAAUUGUCCAGAAUUUAUGGGGUAAGACACGGGACUGGGAUGAUCCAAAUCUGGCUUUCAUGGGAAAGCAAACUCCCUGCUCUCUCCACCAUCACUUUGCCUUGCUGCCUAACAUCUCAGUCAGUGAAUCCUUCCUCAGCUACCCAUGACCUUCACAUCUUCUGUGACGCAUCAGAACAGUCCUAUGGUGCAGUUGCUAAUAUGCUUACAGAAGAUCAUCAGCAGGUGUAUGUGUCCUUCCUCGUGGGAAGAUCCCGCAUUUCUCCUAAAAAACAUCUAGCAAUUGCACGAUUUGAAUUAUGUGCAGCUCUCAUAGGAGCUCAGCUAUCUAGUUUCCUUCAAACAGAGCUCACCCUCUAUAUCAGAAAGACUACUCUGUGGACUGACUCUACGACUGUUCUCCAUUGGCUUCUCACCAAUUCUUGUCGCUACAAGGUCUUUGUUGGAACCAGGGUAGCUGGGAUUCAGGAGCUCACUAAAGGACAGGAAUGGCAUUAUGUGGAUUCACAGAACAACCCAGUGGAUGACUUAACCAGAGAAAAGCUGCUGUCUGAUCUUGGCAGACCCUGCAGGUGGAACCAAGGACCUACCUUCCUGUUUCAACUCCUUGAACUCUGGCCCACUAUCCAUAAUAUUGAUCGAGCUAAUGACCUUGUAGAGCUGCGCAAGCCUUAUUUCUGUGGUGCUGUAUCCCUCAAUCCAUACCCCUCCAUCCCUGACCCCAGUCAAUUUACCACUUUCCAAGACCUCCUUGACUGCGUGGUUACCUCCCUUCACGGAGUGGCAAAUUCUCCAUCAGCAGAAAACUACUGUGAUGCAGAGACGUCAAUCCUAAGGCAAGCCCAGAUGGAUUCAUUCAGGGAUGAUUUGGCCUGCCUUCAAAUCCAAAAGCCCCUUCUACCAUCAAGCCGUUUACUCUCCCUUGCCCCAGAGUUAGACCGAGCAUCAGGGCUCAUUCGGGUAGUUGGAAGAUUACGUCAGAGUAAUGAUCUACUCCCUGAUGCCAUUCAUCCAGUUGUCCUGGACCCGGCACAUUCAGUCACAUUCUCUAUUUCUGUUUUAUCAUGUGAUAGAAAGUCUAAGGCCUUCUCAAGCCGUACGGCUGACUCGUCUAAUCUGCAGCCUAUUAUGCAUCAAACUAAUAUUGCUGUUGAGUCAAAAUGCAAUGCCAUCAAGUUAGCACAAAUAAUUUCUAAUCAAUGA